AACUUGUGUGCGAGUCAUUGGGCGCACUAAACCCAAAGGCGAAAUGAAAGUGACAGAAAGGGGAGGGGCCCCUCCUUGCCGCAAGGUAAGGAACCCUUCCCCUGGGGCUGAUCCCUGGCCGACAGUCGACCGUGGGGUGCCAGAGGGGGGUGGGAGCUCGGUGAGGCAUUUUCCCGGUUCUUUGUCACCCUUUGGCUUACUCCUGCGUGUCGGCAGUGGCCCACGCCCGCAAUGGGGGGGCGCAAGCCCGGGACUUGCCACCAGUGCACCUCUCGGCGUCCGCGACUGGCCUCUCGGGGCCUUUCCGCGUGGGCUGAGUUGGUAGCCGGCAAGUACCUUGAGCAGACAUGUUGGGACCCGAAAGAUGGUGAACUAUGCUUGGCCAGGACGAAGCCAGAGGAAACUCUGGUGGAGGUCCGCCGCGAUUCUGACGUGCAAAUCGAUCGUCGGAGCUGAGUAUAGGGGCGAAAGACUAAUCGAACCAUCUAGUAGCUGGUUCCCUCCGAAGUUUCCCUCAGGAUAGCUGGUACUCGAGAGUAAUUUCAUCCGGUAAAGCGAAUGAUUAGAGGUCUUGGGGACGAAACGUCCUCAACCUAUUCUCAAACUUUAAAUGGGUGAGAUGCCGAGCUUGCUUGCAAUUGAUCGUUGAAGCUCUGGCGACUAAUAUGA
rnacentral:rRNA from 1 species